rnacentral:rRNA from 1 species
UACAGAGGUCUCAAGCGUUGUUCGGAUUCAUUGGGCGUAAAGGGUGCGUAGGCGGCGCGGUAAGUCGGGUGUGAAAUCUCGGAGCUUAACUCCGAAACUGCAUUCGAUACUGCCGUGCUUGAGGACUGGAGAGGAGACUGGAAUUUACGGUGUAGCGGUGAAAUGCGUAGAUAUCGUAAGGAAGACCAGUGGCGAAGGCGGGUCUCUGGACAGUUCCUGACGCUGAGGCACGAAGGUCAGGGGGAGCAAACGGGAUUA